GACGAACGCUGGCGGCGUGCUUAACACAUGCAAGUCGAACGGAAAGGCCUGCUUUCCCUUGUGGAUUGCGGGUACUCGAGUGGCGAACGGGUGAGUAACACGUGAGUGAUCUGCCCCCAACUUGGGUAUAAGCCUGGGAAACUGGGUCUAAUUCCCGAUAGGACUGCAGGGUGGUGCCUGUGGUGGAAAACGAUUUUCUAGUGGUUGGGGAUGAGCUCGCGGCCUAUCAGCUUGUUGGUGGGGUAAUGGCCUACCAAGGCGGCGACGGGUAGCCGGCCUGAGAGGGUGGACGGCAACAUUGGGACUGAGAUACGGCCCAGACUCCUACGGGAGGCAGCAGUGGGGAAUAUUGCACAAUGGGCGGAAGACUGAUGCAGCGACGCCGCGUGGGGGAUGACGGCCUUCGAGUUGUAAACUCCUUUCGACCGCGAGGAAGCCACCUGGUUGGAAGGGUGGUGACGGUAGUGGUAGAAGAAGCACCGGCUAACUACG
rnacentral:rRNA from 1 species